UACGUAGGGUCCGAGCGUUGUCCGGAAUUACUGGGCGUAAAGAGCUCGUAGGUGGUUUGUCGCGUUGUUCGUGAAAACUCACAGCUUAACUGUGGGCGUGCGGGCGAUACGGGCAGACUUGAGUACUGCAGGGGAGACUGGAAUUCCUGGUGUAGCGGUGGAAUGCGCAGAUAUCAGGAGGAACACCGGUGGCGAAGGCGGUUCUCUGGGCCUUACCUGACGCUGAGGAGCGAAAGCGUGGGGAGCGAACAGG
rnacentral:rRNA from 1 species